UACGUAGGAGGCGAGCGUUGUCCGGAUUUACUGGGCGUAAAGCGCGCGCAGGCGGCACACUAAGUACGUUGUGAAAUCUCCCUGCCUAACGGGGAGGGUGCAAUGUAAACUGGUGAGCUAGAGGACGGUAGAGGGGGGUAGAAUUGCUGGUGUAGCGGUGAAAUGCGUAGAGAUCCGGAAGAACACCGGUGGCGAAGGCGGCCUGCUGGGCAGUAGCUGACACUGAGGCGCGACAGCGUGGGGAGCAAACAGG
rnacentral:rRNA from 1 species